AAGGUGGAAGGCUACAUCGUCACAAACAUGUCUGACUUCCGUUCGAAACGCCAUUGUGUUCCGGAUUGAUAACAUUAUGUCGUGGUACAAAAUAGCUAUACACCGUUUAAUUGAACUCUUCUAACUAAGGAGACGAGAUAGGACUGAAAUCACCAAAACGCUUAGAAAAUAUGUCAAUAAUUCUUCCUGUUUAAAGCUUUUAACUAACAUUGAUUAUCAGCUGUUUUGUACGGAAAACGUGGACUCUAAAUAAUAUACCGUUUCCCUGCUCUGCUGCUAUUGGCAAUACAUUUUUGUCAUGUCAUCUGCAACAGACGAUCAUACAUAUGUGGCGGAUUAUCGAUAUAGAUACAGCUAGGUAGCAAUAGCAGUGGAAGCCCGGAUUUGCAAGCAAAAUGAGGGAAAGACAGGAUUCUGAAAAGGAGCACGUUUUUCAUUUCCACACAUGCAUGUGUAUCACUAUGGACAUCUAAUGUUUUUGUGGGAUUUUGUCCAGCAGUUUGCCUUAACAGAAUUUUUUUAUAGUUUAGUUUCAUAUUUAUGUGGAUUCCAAUAAAAAUCAUACAAACUUCAUUCAUUAUUUUUUUGUUUUUCAUUUCUAAACUUAAUAACAUUUCACUUUCAUAAGAAUUUUAAAACAGAAAUGUUUAAAAAUUUGAUAAAUAUGGGGUUAUCUGGAACCAGACUGAUAUUUUAAAAAUUCUCUAGAAAAUAGUGUAUUGUAUUUUGAGGUAUAUUAUUGUUGAAUACUGUGCCUAGUAUUGGUAACAAAUGCAUGCAACAAAAAUCUCCUACACUUAUUUGGUGUAGAGAUCCACCUUAAACAAAGAACCUCGUUUUAGAAGUAUGGAAUACGAGUCUUGGUAAAAUGGGUAAGCAAAACCGGGCCGUGGCAAAAUAAAAGCCGGGGCAGAUCGGCAAUCGUCAAUUCCAAAUACGCAUUAUUUUGCAGCAAUAUUUACAGCAAAUACAAAUAUACUGGUCCAUCAAAUAUCCUGAAAUUUCAAUGAGAUUGGCAGAAUAAUAACUGCUUAUCUUUUGUUUUGCCCAGGCCAAGUCUUGUCUACCCAUUUUACCGGAU